rnacentral:rRNA from 1 species
CUAACACAUGCAAGUCGAACGGGUAACAGGAAGAAGCUUGCUUCUUUGCUGACGAGUGGCGGACGGGUGAGUAAUGUCUGGGAAACUGCCUGAUGGAGGGGGAUAACUACUGGAAACGGUAGCUAAUACCGCAUAACGUCGCAAGACCAAAAAGGGGGACCUUCGGGCCUCUUGCCAUCGGAUGUGCCCAGAUGGGAUUAGCUAGUAGGUGGGGUAACGGCUCACCUAGGCGACGAUCCCUAGCUGGUCUGAGAGGAUGACCAGCCACACUGGAACUGAGACACGGUCCAGACUCCUACGGGAGGCAGCAGUGGGGAAUAUUGCACAAUGGGCGCAAGCCUGAUGCAGCCAUGCCGCGUGUAUGAAGAAGGCCUUCGGGUUGUAAAGUACUUUCAGCGGGGAGGAAGGGAGUAAAGUUAAUACCUUUGCUCAUUGACGUUACCCGCAGAAGAAGCACCGGCUAACUCCGUGCCAGCAGCCGCGGUAAUACGGAGGGUGCAAGCGUUAGUCGGAAUUACUGGGCGUAAAGCGCACGCAGGCGGUUUGUUAAGUCAGAUGUGAAAUCCCCGGGCUCAACCUGGGAACUGCAUCUGAUACUGGCAAGCU